rnacentral:sRNA from 1 species
UUACCGUGGUAACGAAGUCGCGCACGAG